GGGUUGUUAGUCCCUUCGGUGCAACAACAGCUGGAUGUGUUCAGUUGCCAAUUAAAACAGAUGCUUCAAGUGGUGAUACUGGUUCAUUUCAGGAUGAUCAGAGUACAUUGCAAGGUGGAUCACAUAUGAAUAGCUUGGAAGUUGAAUCUGUGGGUGACUAUGAAAAGCACCUACUAUUUGACUCUGCUGAAGUAUCAAAACCUAAAAAGAAGAAAAAAGCAAAGCUUCUGGGUACUUCAUAUGGGCAGCGAUGGCAGGUUGACUCAAAUUAUCAAAUCAACCAGAAGGAUCAUUCCAGAAAGAGAUUCGAGGGCCAUCAACUUGAAUCAAACGGC
rnacentral:misc_RNA from 1 species